UGACUCUGGUUUCUCUUCAUAACGCACAAGUCUUUAGCCUUUACUAAAGACUUCAAAUGAAGGAGCAAACAUGAGUUGAAUAUAUAUAUUUUGUAAGGCUUUUGCUGUAUGGCUG